GAUGAACGCUGGCGGCGUGCCUAAUACAUGCAAGUCGAGCGAACGGACGAGAAGCUUGCUUCUCUGAUGUUAGCGGCGGACGGGUGAGUAACACGUGGAUAACCUACCUAUAAGACUGGGAUAACUUCGGGAAACCGGAGCUAAUACCGGAUGAUAUUUUGAACCGCAUGGUUCAAAAGUGAAAGACGGUCUUGCUGUCACUUAUAGAUGGAUCCGCGCUGCAUUAGCUAGUUGGUAAGGUAACGGCUUACCAAGGCAACGAUGCAUAGCCGACCUGAGAGGGUGAUCGGCCACACUGGAACUGAGACACGGUCCAGACUCCUACGGGAGGCAGAAGUAGGGAAUCUUCCGAAAUGGGCGAAAGCCUGACGGAGCAACGCCGCGUGAGUGAUGAAGGUCUUCGGAUCGUAAAACUCUGUUAUUAGGGAAGAACAUAUGUGUAAGUAACAGUGCACAUCUUGACGGUCCCUAAUCAGAAAGCCACGGCUAACAACGUG
rnacentral:rRNA from 1 species